AUAUUAAACGUGGGAACUAAACAAGAUUAACUGUUCUCAUCAGUUUAACUAAUAUCUGAUGUGUGGGCCAUAUGCUCACUUCGAUAUUAAAUUUAUUAUUUGUGGGGGAGGGCUCAUCACAGUGGCAAGCCCUUGCCACUGGGGCCCUCGCGCGUCGCUCAGGCGUUGCACUGCUGCCCGGGCCUGGCGCACCCAAC
rnacentral:snRNA from 1 species